ACCGAGGUGGUGGAACAGGCAGACACGCUACUUUGAGGUGGUAGUUUCUCUUUUUUGAGAUUACGGGUUCAAAUCCCGUCCUCGGUA
rnacentral:tRNA from 1 species